CAGCCGCCGCGGGAAUACGAAGGGGGCUAGCGUUGUUCGGAAUUACUGGGCGUAAAGCGCACGUAGGCGGAUCGAUCAGUCAGGGGUGAAAUCCCAGGGCUCAACCCUGGAACUGCCUUUGAUACUGUCGAUCUGGAGUAUGGAAGAGGUGAGUGGAAUUCCGAGUGUAGAGGUGAAAUUCGUAGAUAUUCGGAGGAACACCAGUGGCGAAGGCGGCUCACUGGUCCAUUACUGACGCUGAGGUGCGAAAGCGUGGGGAGCAAACAGGAUUAGAUACCCGCGUAGUCCCUGUCUCUUAUAC
rnacentral:rRNA from 1 species